GACGAACGCUGGCGGCGUGCUUAACACAUGCAAGUCGAACGGAAAGGCCUGCUUUCCCUUGUGGAUUGCGGGUACUCGAGUGGCGAACGGGUGAGUAACACGUGAGUGAUCUGCCCCCAACUUGGGUAUAAGCCUGGGAAACUGGGUCUAAUUCCCGAUAGGACUGCAGGGUGGUGCCUGUGGUGGAAAACGAUUUUCUAGUGGUUGGGGAUGAGCUCGCGGCCUAUCAGCUUGUUGGUGGGGUAAUGGCCUACCAAGGCGGCGACGGGUAGCCGGCCUGAGGGGGUGGACGGCCACAUUGGGACUGGGAUACGGCCCAGACUCCUACGGGAGGCAGCAGUGGGGACUAUUGCACAAUGGGCGGAAGCCUGAUGCAGCGACGCCGCGUGGGGGAUGACGGCCUUCGGGUUGUAACCUCCUUUCGACCGCGAGGAAGCCACCUGGUUGGAAGGGUGGUGACGGUAGUGGUAGAAGAAGCACCGGCUAACUACGUG
rnacentral:rRNA from 1 species